AAUGAAUGUAUUGUUUUUUGCUAAAGAUUUCUUAUAUUUUUUAAGCUUGAAUGGAACCAAAAUAAAUGUUCCAAUACAACAAAUUAGUUUUUCAAUGAAUUGACUCUGACGGAGGACAUUUGACCAAUAAUAUGGCCUAAUCACAAAUUUAAAGUACAGGAGAUGCUAAAUAAAUACGAAGGCUACUGGGGCCCGCUAAUGGAACGUAAUACGAUAGCUUUUGUUGGAACACAUUAUUCAAAUUUUAAAGUUGAACAUAAAAUGCGACUCAUCACUACAAACCCCCGCUGAUCAUCAAUGGAGUUUCAAUGUGAACAUUUAACACUCGCUCGUGACAGUCAGGAAAACUGUUAUGUAAGGAAACCGGUAUGACAUAAACUAAAAACAAGUCGAAGGCGAAAUCCAACAGCUUGUACCACAACUAGUUCUACUUAUAAAAUACUUAAGGAAUUAAAAAAAUGACAAAUUCAGAACAGCUAAUUAGUAUUAGGGUAAAGUAGCUUAAAAUGUAAUGUACACGUUGCUUGCGCUUA